AAUCAACGCUGGCGGCGUGCCUAACACAUGCAAGUCGAACGAGAAGGUGACUUCGGUCACUGGAUAGUGGCGUCCGGGUGAGUAACACGUAGGUAAUCUACCUUCGGGUGGGGAAUAACGUCUCGAAAGAGACGCUAAUACCGCAUAAUGCAGCGGCACCUAAUGGUGAUUAGUUGUUAAAGCGGGGGAUCUUCGGACCUCGCGCCUGAAGAGGAGCCUGCGGCAGAUUAGCUAGUUGGUGAGGUAAUGGCUCACCAAGGCUUCGAUCUGUAGCUGGUCUGAGAGGACGGCCAGCCACACUGGCACUGACACACGGGCCAGACUCCUACGGGAGGCAGCAGUGGGGAAUUUUGGGCAAUGGGCGAAAGCCUGACCCAGCAACGCCGCGUGAAGGAGGAAAUCCUUCGGGAUGUAACUUCAUAAGUAAGGGAAGAAAGCUGCGGAUCGAAUAAGUCCGCAGUCCGACGGUACCUUACGUAAG
rnacentral:rRNA from 1 species